CUAGUUUUCAUACUAGAGGUGCACAGCGUGGCAAUCCUAAUGCAAGACCAAAUAAUUUUGAGACCAAUGAUCAAACGGCGCGCCACCAGCACGGCACUGAGGUCAAGGUUCGUGUGGAUGUGGGUGGGAGGCAUGUCAGCCCGCGCCAUAGCACAGAAUACCGGCACCAGUGUCACCACUGUCUGCCGCUGGAUCAGUCGGUGGAAGAAUGAAGGACAUGUAGAGGACAGACAAAGAUGUGGCAGGGCACAUACAUCAUCGGUCUACGUUAACAAUGGGCACACUCCGUCGAUCCUGCUACUUAACCCACAUGUUGACACAAUUUACAAACGCUUCUUCCAGGACGAUUCAGUGCAAUCGUUCUCAUUACAAUGAACAACUCUCAAAUAGGGUCAAAUAAUUUUUCCAAGCCACGUAUCUUAUCAGCAUCUAAUUUGUCCACAGUAAAAUUUACAGACACCUUGGUCAGCACGGCCAGGCUUCGGGGUGUAAAUUAGUCUAACACUAAUAAAUUAAUAAAUAAUUAUAACUGUUUUUACAAUCAACUAAACAUUAUUACUUAUCUCUAAGAAACAGGCUUUACUUACGUAACUCCCUGUAAUGUUAAGAAAGUUUAGUAGAUUAUUACAUA